CGCCCGACGGGGGCCGGCAGGGACGGGGCGGGGACGGCGGGAGAGCGCUGAGCGUUCGGUUCCGGGUUGAGCCCCGCCCGCUCCGCUUCCAUGGCAGCGCGAUAUCCUAAGAGCACAAUUAUAAGAUCAAGGCUUGUGACAAGCACAGCUGGAAAAGUAAUGUCCAACCUGCAGGGAGGCCGCACCACUUCGGAACAGAUACCUGCAGUGGAGUGUGAGCACACAGUUAAGAAUUACUCUCCUGCACAGUGUUUAGGCCACAAACAUCUACUUUACUGCAAACAUUAUUUGCAACAGAAACUGGGACCCAGAUUUCCGUCCUUCCAGCAGAUAUAUCAAGUGUGCCUGAGAACUUCUUGCAGAGAGAACAGUGUUGCUGGUGCCUCUUCACUUUACUUCAAAGAGAAGUUCAGCAUCCAAGAUGAGAACUGAGCAAAACUGGUAACCGCAUCUGAUUGUUUCACUACUGGGAAAAGAAGCCCAUUCAAUUCAGGGGUCAAUGGGAUAUCAACACAGCAUUAGAGCUCACAGAUCCAUCUGCUUCCAGGCAGUUGCAUCCUAUGUCUUACAGGAACAGAAGACAGCACAGAGCUAAAGCAUUUAAACUGGCUUUCAGUUCCUACAGGAGUUUCCUUCUUGAAAGUCCUUACAAAGCUGCAAGCCCAUCACUUCAGCUGCAAUGAGCCCAUUCCCUGGGCUAAGUCCCAGCAUGCAUCAGGGUUACACUCCAUGGCUUUGGGAGGUGAUGCACACUCCUCCUGUAGGAUACAGCUGAUAGCAUCAACCUCUGUCCCAGUGACAUGUUUGGGAAGGGACUGCACCAUGCAGCCUGUCCCUGAAGUUCCAGGGAGAAAGAGAGGUUUUUUGUCACAGUGAGUGCCCAGUGACAGGAGGCUGUACCUGCCGGCUUUAAGUGGCUUUAAGUUUGCUGCUGUCUAACAUGGGAAAACGGGUUGAAAGGCUGCUGCUGAAGGAAGGCAAUCUGGGUGGAAGUGGUCGCUAAUCAGCCCAGCUCUUGUGCUUCAAUAGGGAAGGGAGUGAACGCGAUGAAAUAAUGAACUUAAAACAGAAUACUUCAACCCACUCCAAGAAUUGCUAAAUGCAGUCUUGUGGAAAGCAAUUUUAAUGGGAAAAGGUGCCCUGGAGAACUGCCAGUUCCUAAAAGAGACACUGAAUAUCUACUGAAAAACUGCUGUGAUACAGGGAGCUCACAGAAGGCACGAGGAGAGACAGCUAUGGCUGCAAAGGAAGAUCUUUAAUGACCUGACGAUGAAAAUGAUGGUGCAAAAGGUGGCUUCAUUUCUGCAUGUGGACGACACAAGUAAAGCUUUUAGCAGUGUCCCAAAUGACACUCAUGGGCGUGCCAGGGAAAUGUGGUCUUCAUUAAACUACUGCAAGGUGGGAAAGAGGAGGCAAGUGAUUGGGUAUGUGUAUGGGAGCAGAAGAGGAAGAAAGAGAGGGAAGACAGCACAAAUCAGGGUAACUUUUUUUUUACUACAAGAAUAAUUAUAUGGUCCAAAUUAAAAAUGAACAAAUAAACAAACAAAAAAAUCCCCAGUAUAAUAUUACAUGUCUGGCAUUGUAGGCUCACGCACACACCUUUGUCUUCACAGCAAUGCUAUGUGAUGGUAUAAUGGAACCUGAUUUGCGAGGCUGCUUAAUACAGACCUGACCUUUGCUAAUGAAAGGACUAAGAUCCUUUUCAUGGAGCUUUUUGUUUUCUCAGAUGAGGGAGAAACCCCAGAAAAACUAUUGCGGCUUCUCCAAUGAUGAAGUACACAUUUACAUUCUAAAGGGUGGGAUCUCUGAGUGCCAACAUUUGAAAGAUUAAAUGAAUCACGAGGUGCAUUUUUUUAAUGGGUGACCAGUAGGGGUUCUGCAGUGAGUAGUUUUGUCAGCUCCCACCCCCAAAUGGUUUUAAUAAUGUUUUUGACCUCAUUUGCAACCAGACCUCUUUCAUAGGUGCAGCCUUUGUCCUUUGCCAAUCAGGUUGCGAGGAGUGCUGCCACUUCAGAAGGAAGAUGCCAGGAGCAGGUGGUCCUCCUAUUCGCGCAGCCAUAACCUCACAUGCUUUUAAGACUUCUAUCAUUAUGUCCCAAUCAGAAAUGAAAUGGAGGUUACCCUAAAAGUCAAUUAAAAUAUCAGUUGAUGAUAUUAGAAUGUCAAAAAUUGACGUAAAACUUCACCCAGGAGAGUUAAUCUUUGCUGUGUCUAACAAGUUCAUUAUAAGCUGAAGGAAUUCUGCAAUUUGCAAACUGCAUCCCAACUGCUUUAUUCCCUACCCCAGCAAAGCUAGGAGGGUUACAUGGAUUACAGACAAACACCAAACUGCUGCUUUGGUUUUUAUGAUCGGUAGGAAGAAGAUGUGAAAGUCAGUACACGUAAUACACGAGAGACAGAAAUGUUUGCAGGUCUUUUGGUGAGCAGAUACAGGUGCUCUGAGUGCCCUUUCCUCUGAUAAUGACAGUACGUUUCCUGGGAGGAUCACCUGGCGGACCUCACACCGUCACCAUAUAGGAGCAGAAAAUAGAGGCUGUCGUGAAAAGAAUCUCACCUGGUGUGUUAGUUUGCUAACAAGGCAAGUCUCAUCAGACUUGCAAGAAAAAAUCAUUAGUAGACUGUCCUAUGAGGUGGGUAGGUCUGUAAAGGUCGCUUUGGGCUGCUCAGGAAGAGACAUUUGUUUGCCAUUUUUGGAUCUGAAUGAGAAGGAAUACAGGGCAGUGCCAUCAUGAAGAUGGAAGGUAGCACAAUCCCAAAGUUUCCAGGGGUUUUGCAAGAAAAUAAAAGCAAUCUGUGGUUUCUUGGCCUGCUAAGAAUGGGGAAUCCAGAUGCAAUUGCAAUUGGUUACUGCCCUUUGAGCCCAGUGGUCCAGGCAAUUUUCAAACCACUUGACAGCAACAGACAUUCAGAUCAUCCAACAGAUGUGCAGUCCAGACUUCUUCACUUCCAAAUGUAUUACCAUGGCAGGCAAUGUCAUACAGCUGUGUCUGCUGCUCAUUCAGAGCUGCUUCUCAUUUUGGGUUGCCUUCUGAUGCGUGAGACAAGAUGCAGAGACUGAUGCUGCUGCUGUCAUAAGAGUAUGUGGUUCAUGGGAUUGAUCUUAUAAUGUUUCACAUUUUUUUCUUGGAGGAUACUGUUGACAUUGUGACACAGCUCCAGGAACUACCAAGUCUCCUAUUGGCUCCAGUAGCUUCUGAGCCAGUAUUUCAUGAUACUUUAUCUGCCAGGAAUAUGGAAAAACUCUAUUCUGUUCUUUCUGCCUUGAUUCUCCAUUACCUGCCUUUGAUUGUUAGGAACCUCAUAUAUGCAUCUUCCUUUGUUCCUCCUCUAUCCACAUAUUUUUCCCUGAAUGGUGCUCUCAUCAUGCUCCACUGCUGGCAAGCCAACUCUGGCCCUCUCUCUGUCACUGAUAAGAAGCAUUAAGCUGGAGUUUCCAGAGAAGAGCAGCUCCCAUGGGUGCAGAAAUGCCUGCAGGAAGGCAUGGCUGUGGCCCACUGCCCUCUCUCUUGCUCUUUGCUGCCGCAUUGAGCUGAAUAACAAAGCAUUUGUUCUUGACAAGCAGAUGGGGAGGAAUUGGCAAGGAGCCCGGAAUCCUUAUAAGUUAAUCGCUGUCUAUUCAGCUGUAAGUAAAGAGAAUUUUAUCUCGAAAGAACAUCACUCCUUUGGCUUUGCCACCACAUAUUUACUCGCUAUAUCUUUUUGUCUCAUACCGUUCUCUCAAGGGAACAAAUAGAGAGUUAUAUUUCCAGCUAUGGAGAAAAACUGUCUGAGGGCAAAUGAAGAGGAAUGUGAGGCCAUUCACUAAAAGGCAGAUGACUUCUGAUGAAGGUAUUGUGCUAUUUACGUGCUUUUAUAUCUCUAUAACACACUGUGCUGCUUUGGGUAUUGUCAUAGAAGGCAAGCAAGUUACUCCAGAUGCAGGAAGUGGGCUCUUAUGCCCACCUUUUGUCAACUCUUGUGUAUCUAAGGAGGAAGGACAGGUAUAACUCCUUCAGGUGUCUUCCCUCUUCUCUGCUUGCCUACUGUUUUGAAUGAGGGAGAUAGAGUUGGUUGAGGACUGGUGAGGAGCUCCUGAUGGACCCAUUCUGACAAGGGGAGAAAACAAUGUCUGGGUUCAGGCUUUGAAGUCCUGAGUUUACCCAUGUUGGUGGCACCAAGAGACUGGUUAAUCUGAUGUCACCUGGGCAGGAGCCUGCAUGUGAAUGGUCGGGAGGGCUGCACAAAAACCCAGCCAUCCCUUACCUGCUCUUGUUGGAGCUAUAAUUAGACUAUCCAGUUAAUGAGUAAAAGAUACCUCAGAAAAUAGCUGCUUAUGCUGUGCUUUGUGCCUAAGGGUACCCCAAAGCAAUUAGGGAACUGCGGGUGCCCUAAGCACAGGGCUGUGCUGGCUUUCUGCUCCCAUGCUGCUCCGAGCAGAGCAGCCACAUACAUCCUUGCCAUCCUGCCAAGCAAGAGGCUGCAAACCCACUCGGGAUUCUGAGCCCCAAGGAGGGCUGUUAAGCUCUCCCCAGAUGUAUUCUGAUAAGCUUUGGUGCUUUGCAACUCCCCUUUCCAAUUACCAGCCCUGCUCCCUGCACUGCCCAGGUCUGAUGCAUACGGAUGGCUCUGCAGCUACAUAGGAGCUUUUGGGCUGAGUGAUGGAGGAGGUGGGAGGCACAGCAGUGCAGAGCAGGGACAUAUAGAGGAGUUCAGGUGGUGUCACCUCACAGCUCUCUUUGGCAGAAGCCCCUAAAGUUGUCUUCACGGCUGAGGAUUAGAGUCACCUGGAUGUAUGGUGCAGUAAUGGCCUUGAUGAGAAACACUUGUUCGAAAGGACGUAAGCUGAUAGAAGAGAUUGAAGCAUUGGAGCACUGAGGGUACUGUGGUGUGUCCGUCACCAAAGGCCAAAUGGGAAAAGAACAUUUUGAAAUGGCUUGGGUAUAACUGACCUGUUUGGGUACACUUUGGUUCCCAAAGACAACAUCCCCCAAAGCUUCUUUUUAUAGCAAUGCAAAUUUAACUCAAAUUUAACACCAAAAUCAUGAUUUUGGGUAUGGUGGGCUUGACACUUUCCCUUCCCAUAGGCACAUUCUGGUUUUUGUAACAUCUCUACAGAAUUAUUUGCAGCCCCAGCAUCCAUGUCCCAGCCAUCGAGUAGCUGUCCUGGUCCUGCAGCCACUGGCAAGUUGCUGCCUCACCAUGCUGCAUGGUGCCCCAUGGGUGCUGAGAGGAAACCUGGCUUGAUGCAGACAGUGGACAACAAGGUGCCCUGCAUCCCUACAGCAGGCUUUGUGCCUGACCCUGCUUUGCAAAUAAGGCUGAUUAUGGCAGAGCUUGUGCUGAGUGUCUCACAAGGGACAGGUGAGCAACUGCAGAGGGCAGAGAACAAAAGUGGGGAGCUGAAGUCUUUGUUUUCCCCCUUCCCUAAACUCUCAUUUCCCAGGGCUGGGCUCUUGACCCAGGCUGGUACCGAGGUUUUAUUAGUGUGAGACUGGAGCCAGGCUCAGGCUGCUGCUGCAGGUAACACACUCUGCAAUUAGCUCAGAAAAGAGAUCUCUGGGGGACAAAGGGUUUCUCGCCAGGAGAAAGAGCUCUCUAUUAGUGUCAGCUCCAAAGCAAAUCGAAUCGGAGUUGAGAACAAAGAGGCUACAGGCUGCCUUACAAUUUUAAUAUCCUAGAUAACUGACUUUUUAUGUCUUAUUUUACUAUUGAAAAGCAUCGUGUGUGUGAAUUGUGAAGAUCCAGCCUCGGUUCUAAAAGAACAGAGGCAACAAGCUUGACCCAGCAACUAUCCUGAGACCCCUGUGGGAAGCAAUAAUCUUGAGAAAGCCGGUGCAGGCUAUGUUUUCAAUUUAUAAAUUAAAUGUAUUUAAAAUUUAUGAACUUUGACUGCACGAGUAACUACUUCAUUAGACCUUAAGGCUGCAUGUUUCCUUGGCUUUUUGCGUGGUAAAGUGAACCACAUUUCUAAUAAACAUGGAAAGAGAUUUCAAGAUAGAGUCACUACUUUUAUGUAAAGCACCCUCCAGACUCAUUAAAAAAGUUUACCACCUAAAUAAAGCAAGCACACUGUAAUUCUUGAACCCAUAAAAUUGUUAAUAUAUACAUAAUAUCGGUCUACUCUUGCAUGUACACUGCUUGAUAUCAAUGAAUGACAUACAGUAAGGGUUUUACUGUAAGGAAAUAAGCGUAUAAAACUAUGUUUUGCUAAGUCUUAUGCUGUAACGUGAACUUGAGAAACAGGAGAAUGUAAGUUGGGUGCUGCUGUGGUUUACUGAGUAGGUACAGCUAAUGGCAUGCACAGCCUUAGGGGAGAGUGCUGCGGUGCUUUGACACCCAAGCUUCAGCUGUAACUGACACUGUCCUGUUUCUCCUAGCUUAUAUCAACCAGUUAGGACCCCUCUGACAGACAGCAGUGGGGACAGGCGGUGGCACGGUGGUGGGCACCAUGCAUUGGCCUACUAGGCAUGGCUGUGGCUCAAGGAGCUGGUGCCAUGUGUUUCACCUCCUCCUGACACUGGUAUGUCCUCAGCUGCAGCACAGCAUCCUGCUUUGGGAACUUCAAGGGGCACGUGGAAAACCUGAAAGGUUUCCGCAGUUGAAGACUGUCACCAUGGUCCAUGUCU